UACAGAGGGUGCAAGCGUUGUUCGGAAUUAUUGGGCGUAAAGGGCAGGUAGGUGGUCUUAAAAGUCUACUGUGAAAUCCCUGGGCUUAACCCAGGAAGUGCGGUGGAUACUCUAAGACUUGAGUGCCGGAGGGGUGCGUGGAAUUCCGAGUGUAGCGGUGAAAUGCGUAGAUAUUCGGAGGAACACCAGAGGCGAAAGCGGCGCACUGGACGGCAACUGACACUCAACUGCGAAAGCGUGGGGAGCAGACAGG
rnacentral:rRNA from 1 species